rnacentral:snRNA from 1 species
UCAUCGCCAUCGCUGGAGACU